rnacentral:rRNA from 1 species
GAUGAACGCUGGCGGCGUGCCUAAUACAUGCAAGUCGAGCGAACAGACGAGGAGCUUGCUCCUCUGACGUUAGCGGCGGACGGGUGAGUAACACGUGGAUAACCUACCUAUAAGACUGGGAUAACUUCGGGAAACCGGAGCUAAUACCGGAUAACAUGUUGAACCGCAUGGUUCAACAGUGAAAGACGGUUUUGCUGUCACUUAUAGAUUGAUCCGCGCCGCAUUAGCUAGUUGGUAAGGUAACGGCUUACCAAGGCAACGAUGCGUAGCCGACCUGAGAGGGUGAUCGGCCACACUGGAACUGAGACACGGUCCAGACUCCUACGGGAGGCAGCAGUAGGGAAUCUUCCGCAAUGGGCGAAAGCCUGACGGAGCAACGCCGCGUGAGUGAAGAAGGUCUUCGGAUCGUAAAACUCUGUUAUUAGGGAAGAACAAAUGUGUAAGUAACUAUGCACGUCUUGACGGUACCUAAUCAGAAAGCCACGGCUAACUACGUG